CAGGGGAGAGCGCGAACGCAGUCCCCCACUAACACAAAUUAUGCAGUCGAGUUUCCCGCAUUUGGGGAAAUCGCAGGGGUCAGCACACCCCAAGUGCAAUGGGUGGGCCUCGCCCUGGGAAAACCACCUACUUGAUCAUGGUAUCUCCCCUGCCAGGUAAGUAU
rnacentral:snRNA from 1 species